rnacentral:lncRNA from 1 species
CCUCCAAGGGCUUUUUCAGUUAUAAUUAUUAUUUAUUACGCUGGUAACGUCAUAAUUAGAACCCCAAGCGUGGUGGGGGACUCUGCUUCUCCUCGUGCUAUAUAGUCACCGGGGGAAGGUAGACCCCCCCACCAGUAAAUUACAAAAACAAAUGUAGUAGGAUGGUCUAACCAGAAGAAUUGGGGAGGUAGUUACUGACCUCAUCUAAAGGCUGGUGGCGGCCCCUGUGGCUGUUUCAUCAUCGGUGCUCAGAAGAGGUGCUCUGUCAGGUCUCUCAAAUGAGCAGUACGCGGUUUUGCUCUUUUUGUUUUGUAGUUCUGGAUCAGAUACCACCUGAGGAGCCACUGAGAAACGUUUAAGAAACUUUGCUGAUGCAGGGCCACAUCCGGCUUUUGUCCUCUAGGUUUAGAAAGCACCGAUACCAGCAGGAAAUCAAGAAGGAAAAUGAAAUCCAUCACUACUGCAAAAACAAAGAAAGGAUCAUCUGUUGUUCAGAAGGGUUCAGUUUUAUUACCAGAUUUAUCUUCUAGUCAUAUGAAGAGAAAAAAUAGAAAACAGUUAUCAGAAAAUGUAAAUGAACCUAUGGUUUUAAAACCAGCAACUCUAGUGGAAUCUUACUUAGAUCAGUCUUUACAGAUUUCAUCUCUAAAUAAAGAUAGUAUGCUGGAUGAACUGCGGAUGCUAGGUGAAAUCACUAAACAUCUAAAUCAGAUUAUAAACUCAUUUGAAGAUAUUUAUAAAAAAGAUGUUGAAGUGAAAGAGGAAGAAGAGGUACAAGAAGGCUCAAGUGUAUGUAUAUUAGAAUCUUUGGCUAAGUGGUUUGGAAAAGAAGCCCAACUGAUGGAAGAACUAGGAGAAGAACAACACGCUGUGGAUUCUCUACUUCCUAUGGCUGACAAAAGUAUAAUGGAAGGCAUUUCUAAACUGACUGUGUGUGUCCAGAGGCUUGAAAGACUGAAGAGUUGUCUUCAGAAUCUUGCAGGACAUGCCCCUCCUUCUGUGGUUAAGAAAGAACAUAAGAAAGACCUGUAA